AGAUUGAACGCUGGCGGCAUGCUUUACACAUGCAAGUCGAACGGUAACAGGCCGCAAGGUGCUGACGAGUGGCGAACGGGUGAGUAAUGCAUCGGAACGUGCCCAGUCGUGGGGGAUAACGCAGCGAAAGCUGUGCUAAUACCGCAUACGAUCUAUGGAUGAAAGCGGGGGACCGAAAGGCCUCGCGCGAUUGGAGCGGCCGAUGUCAGAUUAGCUAGUUGGUGGGGUAAAGGCCCACCAAGGCGACGAUCUGUAGCUGGUCUGAGAGGACGACCAGCCACACUGGAACUGAGACACGGUCCAGACUCCUACGGGAGCAGCAGUGGGG
rnacentral:rRNA from 1 species